CUUAGUGGUAAUAUUAAGUAAAUCAUAUUUGUAUAAAUAAUUAGGUAUAUAGUAAUAAUAUUAAUGUAUCUAUACAAAAAAAAAAUUAAUUAAAUAUCCGGAAUCAAACAAUUUUGUUAUGAAUAUUUGAUAAUAAUUCAAAUUCGUUUGGUUUACUAAAUAAAAUGUCAAUAUUAAUUAUCAGGUUUAUAAAGAUUAUACUAUGUACAUAGAGAAAAUAAUGAUAUUUAUCUGUUUGCCCAUCUACAAUAUGUGAUGUCAAUCGCAUUAUAAUACAUUUAUUAAUUUCUAUAUUAUUCAUGAUCUUAAUAGUUUAGAGCGUUUCGGGGAUAUUGAUAUCAUAUAUUUUCAUUUUUAUAAUAUUAGGUGGUCAGCUGGUAAGUAUAAGCACUUGUUAUUUUUCAAUGAGACGACUCGCAGUAUUUGUCGAUUUUAGUCUCAUAUUAUCUCUCAUUAGUUUACUACCGUUGGAGUCAAAUGACUCAAAUGAUAUGCCUAAUUAUUUCAAGUUUAACUAAAUAGAUAUCUCUAUGACUCUAUAUGGCUGCGAAGAAAUGACACAAGAACCAAAAUAAGAUUUUUAAGAACAUUUCAAAUUCAUUUAUGCACUAUAUAACAUUUUGUUUAUAAAAAAAAAAUCUAAAUGUGCACAUUUUAUAUUAUAUCAGACAAAUAUAGAUAACAAUUUUACAUUAAGAUAUAUAAUUUUUAUUUCCUUUUGUAAAUAUGUAUAUUUAGUUAAAUAAUCAAAAUAUAACAUCAGUUAGAUUAGUG